ACAUGUUUUCAAGUUAUUAAUAUUAUUUUCAUCUGCUUUUAUGAACUCUUCAUCAUGCUUUUUACGCAUUGCGUAUCUUUUUUAUUAAGCUCUCAUCGAAUGAACUACAUGUAAUUUACGCCUUAUAUUUCUCAUUAGUUCAGUUUAUUUAUUUACGAAUUCGUUAGGGCGAGAAUGGUUUCUGAGCAAGAAUUGGACUCAAUAAUGAUCUGCUUUAGCCGGAUAUAGUGAAACGGAGUCUAUUUUAUUGACUUUUUAUUGGUUGAUGUGAAUGUCGACUAACUAAGACAAUCUGAGCUAUGACAGUGGUUAAAGAUUUUGUGAUGAAAUUGUCUCGAAUUCUUAUUAGAAUGAAACCAAAAAAUUCUUAAAGUUAAACUUUAUCAAUGAUAAAACGAAAAAUAAUAUGUACAACUUAAUAGGUUAAAUGAAAUAAAAACACGACAAUAUCUAACAAGCAAUAUUGAGAGACACAUUUGAUGUUUGAUGAGUGUAACAAAGUUUAUUUUAAUGAGUAUUUUUCUACCGUCAUUGGUGAUGAUUUGGGUCAAAC